CCUACGGGAGGCUGCAGUGAGGAAUAUUGGUCAAUGGACGAGAGUCUGAACCAGCCAAGUAGCGUGAAGGAUGACUGCCCUAUGGGUUGUAAACUUCUUUUAUAUGGGAAUAAAAUGUUCCACGUGUGGGAUUUUGUAUGUACCAUAUGAAUAAGGAUCGGCUAACUCCGUGCCAGCAGCCGCGGUAAUACGGAGGAUCCGAGCGUUAUCCGGAUUUAUUGGGUUUAAAGGGAGCGUAGGUGGAUUGUUAAGUCAGUUGUGAAAGUUUGCGGCUCAACCGUAAAAUUGCAGUUGAAACUGGCAGUCUUGAGUACGGUAGAGGUGGGCGGAAUGCGUGGUGUAGCGGUGAAAUGCUUAGAUAUCACGAAGAACUCCGAUUGCGAAGGCAGUUCACUGGACUGCAACUGACACUGAGGCUCGAAAGUGUGGGUAUCAAACAGGAUUAGAUACCCGGGUAGUC
rnacentral:rRNA from 1 species